ACGAACGCUGGCGGCGUGGAUAAGACAUGCAAGUCGAACGAGAGAAUUGCUAGCUUGCUAAUAAUUCUCUAGUGGCGCACGGGUGAGUAACACGUGAGUAACCUGCCCCCGAGAGCGGGAUAGCCCUGGGAAACUGGGAUUAAUACCGCAUAGUAUCGAAAGAUUAAAGCAGCAAUGCGCUUGGGGAUGGGCUCACGGCCUAUUAGUUAGUUGGUGAGGUAACGGCUCACCAAGGCGAUGACGGGUAGCCGGUCUGAGAGGAUGUCCGGCCACACUGGAACUGAGACACGGUCCAGACACCUACGGGUGGCAGCAGUCGAGAAUCAUUCACAAUGGGGGAAACCCUGAUGGUGCGACGCCGCGUGGGGGAAUGAAGGUCUUCGGAUUGUAAACCCCUGUCAUGUGGGAGCAAAUUAAAAAGAUAGUACCACAAGAGGAAGAGACGGCUAACUCUGUGCCAGCAGCCGCGGUAAUACAGAGGUCUCAAGCGUUGUUCGGAAUCACUGGGCGUAAAGCGUGCGUAGGCUGUUUCGUAAGUCGUGUGUGAAAGGCGCGGGCUCAACCCGCGGACGGCACAUGAUACUGCGAGACUAGAGUAAUGGAGGGGGAACCGGAAUUCUCGGUGUAGCAGUGAAAUGCGUAGAUGUCGAGAGGAACACUCGUGGCGAAGGCGGGUUCCUGGACAUUAACUGACGCUGAGGCACGAAGGCCAGGGGAGCGAAAGGGAUUAGAUACCCCUGUAGUCCUGGCAGUAAACGGUGCACGCUUGGUGUGCGGGGAAUCGACCCCCUGCGUGCCGGAGCUAACGCGUUAAGCGUGCCGCCUGGGGAGUACGGUCGCAAGAUUAAAACUCAAAGAAAUUGACGGGGACCCGCACAAGCGGUGGAGUAUGUGGCUUAAUUCGAUGCAACGCGAAGAACCUUACCUGGGCUUGACAUGUAAUGAACAACAUGUGAAAGCAUGCGACUCUUCGGAGGCGUUACACAGGUGCUGCAUGGCCGUCGUCAGCUCGUGUCGUGAGAUGUUUGGUUAAGUCCAGCAACGAGCGCAACCCCUGUUGCCAGUUACCAGCACGUGAAGGUGGGGACUCUGGCGAGACUGCCCAGAUCAACUGGGAGGAAGGUGGGGACGACGUCAGGUCAGUAUGGCCCUUAUGCCCAGGGCUGCACACGUACUACAAUGCCCAGUACAGAGGGGGCCGAAGCCGCGAGGCGGAGGAAAUCCUAAAAACUGGGCCCAGUUCGGACUGUAGGCUGCAACCCGCCUACACGAAGCCGGAAUCGCUAGUAAUGGCGCAUCAGCUACGGCGCCGUGAAUACGUUCCCGGGUCUUGUACACACCGCCCGUCACAUCAUGGAAGCCGGUCGCACCCGAAGUAUCUGAAGCCAACCGCAAGGAGGCAGGGUCCUAAGGUGAGACUGGUAACUGGGAUG
rnacentral:rRNA from 1 species